rnacentral:rRNA from 1 species
GCCUACGGGGGGCUGCAGUGAGGAAUAUUGGGCAAUGCUCGCAAGAGUGACCCAGCCAUGCCGCGUGCAGGAAGACGGUCCUAUGGAUUGUAAACUGCUUUUAUACGGGAAGAAACACUCCUUCGUGAAGGAGCUUGACGGUACCGUAUGAAUAAGCAUCGGCUAACUCCGUGCCAGCAGCCGCGGUAAUACGGAGGAUGCGAGCGUUAUCCGGAAUCAUUGGGUUUAAAGGGUCCGUAGGCGGCCUGAUAAGUCAGUGGUGAAAUCUCCUAGCUCAACUAGGAAACUGGCAUUGAUACUGUCGGGCUUGAAUUGUGGUGAAGUAACUAGAAUAUGUAGUGUAGCGGUGAAAUGCUUAGAUAUUACAUGGAAUACCAAUUGCGAAGGCAGGUUACUAACCAUUGAUUGACGCUGAUGGACGAAAGCGUGGGGAGCGAACAGGAUUAGAUACCCCAGUAGUAUC